GAAAGUAAAGAAGGGCGCAUGGCGGAUGCCUUGGCUCUCGGAGGCGAUGAAGGACGUGAUAAGCUGCGAUAAGCUUUGGGGAGGUGCAAAUGACCUUUGAUCCAGAGAUUUCCGAAUGGGACAACCCAAUAUCUUGAAGAGGUAUUAUCCUACGUUGUUGGAGGCUAACGCAGGGAACUGAAACAUCUUAGUACCUGCAGGAAAAGAAAAUAAACAAUGAUUCCCCCAGUAGUGGCGAGCGAACGGGGAACAGCCCAAACCAUCCAUGUUACGGCAUGGGUGGGGUUGUAGGACUACGCCGUUGCAUGAAGACAUCAGAGAAGAACUUUCUGGAAAGAAAGACCAUAGAGCAUGACAGUUGCGUAUUCGAAUGUUGUCGAAGCAUAGUAGUAUCCUGAGUAGCGCGGAGCACGAGGAAUUCUGCGUGAAUCUGCCGGGACCAUCCGGUAAGGCUAAAUACUCCCGAGAGACCGAUAGCGAACCAGUACCGUGAGGGAAAGGUGAAAAGCACUUCGAACAGAAGAGUGAAAUAGUUCCUGAAACCGUGCGCCUACAAGCGGUCGGAGCUCGUUAAUGAGUGACGGCGUGCCUUUUGCAUAAUGAACCUACGAGUUGCCUUUGCCGGCAAGGUUAAGUGUGACGACACACGUAUCCGAAGCGAAAGCGAGUCUGAACAGGGCGUAUAGUCGGCAGUGGCAGACGCGAAACCAAGUGAUCUACCCUUGGCCAGGUUGAAGGCUGGGUAACACCAGCUGGAGGACCGCACCAAUAAGCGUUGAAAAGCUUCUGGAUGAGCUGAGGGUAGGGGUGAAAGGCUAAUCAAACUUGGAGAUAGCUCGUACUCCCCGAAAUGCAUUUAGGUGCAGCCUUGCGGGUUACUGAUGUGAGGUAGAGCGACUGAUAAGAUGCGAGGGCUUCACCGCCUAUCAAGUCUUGACAAACUCCGAAUGCGCAUCAGUUCUACCGCAGGAGUGAGGGCAUGGGUGCUAAGGUCCGUGCCCGAGAGGAGAAGAAUCCGGACCACCUGCUAAGGUCCCGAAAUGACAGCUAAGUUAAACUAACGAAGUCUGACUGCUAAGACAGCUAGGAUGUUGGCUUGGAAGCAGCCAUUCAUUUAAAGAGUGCGUAACAGCUCACUAGUCGAGGAGUCGGGCGUGGAUAAUAAUCGGGUAUCAAGUUGUCUACCGAAGCAGUGGGAUCAUUUAUAUGAUCGGUAGGGGAGCAUUCCAGUCAGCGUCGAAGGCGUACCGUGAGGUAUUCUGGAGCGUCUGGAAAAGCAAAUGUAGGUAUAAGUAACGAUAAAGGGGGCGGGAAACCCCCUCGCCGAAAGACUAAGGUUUCCUGAUCAACGCUAAUCGGAUCAGGGUCAGUCGGGUCCUAAGGCUCAGCCGAACGGCGAUGCCGAUGGCAGAAACGGUUAAUAUUCCGUUACUACCUUCAGGAGUGACGUGGAGACGCAGUAGUGACAGUGCCGCCAUCUGACGGAAUAGAUGGUUGAAGGGUGUAGGAGUCGAUCAUGGCAGGCAAAUCCACCAUGAGAUCCGAACCUGACAGUAUGCCGCGUCCUUCGGGACAAGGCAAUAGUGCGCGUAAGCAUGCUGCCGAGAAAAUCCGCUAAACUUAAUCCUGCAGGUACCCGUACCGCAAACGGACACACGUAGUCGGGUUGAAUAUACUAAGGCGCUUGAGUGAUUCACGGUUAAGGAACUAGGCAAACUGACCCUGUAACUUCGGGAUAAAGGGUCCCUACCCUUUUAUGGGAGGGCGCAGAGAAUCGGUCCAGGCAACUGUUUAACAAAAACACAGGGCUGUGCCAAAUCGAAAGAUCCAGUAUACAGCCUGACACCUGCCCGGUGCUGGAAGGUUAAGAGGAGAUGUCAUCGAUAAGAGAAGCGUUGAAUUGAAGCCCCAGUAAACGGCGGCCGUAACUAUAACGGUCCUAAGGUAGCGAAAUUCCUUGUCGGGUAAGUUCCGACCUGCACGAAUGG
rnacentral:rRNA from 1 species